GGCAAGGAACAGCAAUGCACAGCUGUUAAACGAUAUUGCACACCAGUGUAAGCAUAUAAUGUAAUUAAAUCAAGGAACUUAAAAGGCAUAACACUAUGGUGCUACUGCUAGUGCAAGCAACUACAAAAACUCUCGGUCAUCGAUUGAACUUUGAAGAUGAAGACUCAGAGCUUGAUAGUUUAGGCAUGAGUUGAAUCCAUUCAUCAUCUCAAUCAAGUGAUCAUUGCAAUAUAAUCAUGAAACAUUUUACAAAUGCUUUUCCUCGAAAGCCAUAUUCUCCAUGAGAUGUUCAGAGAUUCAGUACAAGUCAAAACUUCCUUUGCAGCAAUAGUUGCCAUCAAAUGCCACUUUUCCCCCCAUCUCACAUGGGUAUGAGAAUCUAAGUGAGAGAAACAAAGAUUGUUUUUAACUGCAACUGAUGUUGCAGAGAUCUUUGUGCUAUCCAAUCAAAAAUCAAAGAAACUCCCCUAACAUUUGGCAAGAUAAAAUAGUAUAGGUGAUAUGCAACAAUCUCUUUAAUAUUUUAUUAAAAAAAAUUCCAAGUAACUUUUUUCUACUUAUCUUCCACUUUCUUCCCUUUUCACUUACUUCUAAUACAUGAAACCAUCACCACCGACAUGGCCAACUAUUCUACAAUACUAGAAUUCAUCAUCAGGUUACUGGUGGUUGAUGCCAACAUUUCUACCAUUAAUUGACUCAUAAGCACUAGUUAGUGACUCCAUACUGUUCCUAGGGUAGGUUACUAGCUCUUCCUUACCCUAUCAUGAUCCCUGUGCAAUUUCAAGUAUGGUCUUGCUCAAAACCAUGCUGUUUCUAAUUGAAAUUGACCUAAUAAGUUCAAAAUAUGACAUCAUUCCAGUACCUGACACCCUAAAAGUGAUAACACCCUCAAUGUGAUAUUUCAUCUCACAGGAAGUACGUGCACUGCAGUAAAAGUUUCAUUCUUAUACAGCAGCAACAUAUAACUAAAAUAUGAAAUGCCCAUAGCAAUACUGCAAACAUAGAGAAUGACAUCAUAAAUUGGAAAAUUGCCAAAUAGAAAUCACUCCCCCAAUACCUCGUGAAAUACAGCUGAAACGAA
rnacentral:misc_RNA from 1 species